UUGGGACAGGAAAUUUUGCGAUUGCCUC
rnacentral:sRNA from 1 species